AUACGUAGGGUGCGAGCGUUAAUCGGAAUUACUGGGCGUAAAGCGUGCGCGGGCGGUUUUGUAAGACAGAGGUGAAAUCCCCGGGCUCAACCUGGGAACUGCCUUUGUGACUGCAAGGCUAGAGUACGGCAGAGGGGGAUGGAAUUCCGCGUGUAGCAGUGAAAUGCGUAGAUAUGCGGAGGAACACCGAUGGCGAAGGCAAUCCCCUGGGCCUGUACUGACGCUCAUGCACGAAAGCGUGGGGAGCAACCAGGAUUAGAUACCCUGGUAGUCCACGCCCUAAACGAUGUCAACUGGUUGUUGGGUCUUCAUUGACUCAGUAACGAAGCUAACGCGUGAAGUUGACCGCCUGGGGAGUACGGCCGCAAGGUUGAAACUUAAAGGAAUUGACGGGG
rnacentral:rRNA from 1 species